rnacentral:rRNA from 1 species
AAUCAACGCUGGCGGCGUGCCUCAGACAUGCAAGUCGAACGAGAAAGUUCCCUUCGGGGAAUGAGUAAAGUGGCGCACGGGUGAGUAACACGUAGGUAAUCUACCUUCGGGUGGGGAAUAACCCAGGGAACUUGGGCUAACACCGCAUAAUGCAGCGGCACCACAUGGUGACAGUUGUUAAAGCGGGGGAUUUUAGGACCUCGCGCCUGAAGAGGAGCCUGCGGCGGAUUAGCAGUUGGUAGGGUAACGGCUUACCAAGGCGACGAUCCGUAACCGGCCUGAGAGGGCGGUCGGUCACACUGACACUGACAUACGGGUCAGACUCCUACGGGAGGCAGCAGUCGGGAAUUUUGGGCAAUGGGCGAAAGCCUGACCCAGCAACGCCGCGUGAAGGAU